AUUGAACGCUGGCGGCAGGCUUAACACAUGCAAGUCGAGCGGAGAUGAGGUGCUUGCACCUUAUCUUAGCGGCGGACGGGUGAGUAGUGCUUAGGAAUCUGCCUAUUAGUGGGGGACAACAUUCCGAAAGGAAUGCUAAUACCGCAUACGCCCUACGGGGGAAAGCAGGGGAUCUUCGGACGUUGCGCUAAUAGAGGAGCCUAAGUCGGCUUAGCUAGUUGGGGGGGUAAGGGCCUACCAAGGCGACGAUCUGUAGGGGGUCUGAGAGGAUGGGCCGCCACACUGGGACUGAGACACGGCCCAGACUCCUACGGGAGGCAGCAGUGGGGAAUAUUGGACAAUGGGCGGAAGCCUGAUCCAGCCAUGCCGCGUGUGUGAAGAAGGCCUUUUGGUUGUAAAGCACUUUAAGCGAGGAGGAGGCUACCUGGAUUAAUACUCUAGGAUAGUGGACGUUACUCGCAGAAUAAGCACCGGCUAACUCUGUGCCAGCCGCCGCGGUAA
rnacentral:rRNA from 1 species